GCCCCAUCUGUCACCCUAUACAACAGUCCCUUAUGCCAUUCAAAUUUUUCGUGGGGGUUGUCGCCCCUAUUGUCCCCUACUGCUUUUCUAUACCUGGCUAGAGUGGGGUCAGUCCUUUGUUCCUGCUCAAACCCCUGGGGAGUAUCCCAGAACGAGGAAUGGGGGUCGGGUAAAGGGGGGAUGUCAACUCCUACCUGGGUUUCCUCAGAGUGCAGCGAUGCUUCCAGUCUGGCUUGAGCUCGGGUGGUAACCGGAUACGCUUCAGCUGUGGUGUCUCGGGCUAGCUGGGAAGUUAAACAGCCCACAUCAUUCCCCAACAGUACUUCGGCUGGUAGCUCCUACAUAAUGCCAACCUCUAGUUGUUUAGAUCCCGAGCCCCAAUCCACAAGAACUUUAGCCGUGGGUAAUUUGUGGAUGGCACCCCCGGCGACCCUUACUGCCACAGUGCGGCCCGUGUGAGUUUGAGCCUUGAC